GCCGGGAUGGCGGAAUGGUAGACGCAGUGGACUCAAAAUCCACCGGUAGCGAUACCGUGAGAGUUCGAGUCUCUCUCCCGGCACCA
rnacentral:tRNA from 3 species